UAACCAAAUAAUAACAACGCAUUUUCCAGAAAACACUACAUUUGGAUAUAUAUGUACAAGAAACAUACAAAAAUCAACCCAAAAAAAAAAACAAUACACACGACCCAAAAUGUAGUAAAAUAGAAAAUAGAGGAGAAUGAUCGUUGCUUAUUUACCGGAAAAAUUGAGCCAUCCACCGGCAACCUUGUGAAUUUUGUCAGAUCUGUAAGAGGGGAAACGUCGAAGUAAAACUGAAGUUUUAGAGCUUGAUGUUUUCUGGUCAUUGGGUUUCGCCAGAAUACCUGCAAAACAAACAAACAGAGAAACGAAAAAUCGAAAAGGGUAAAAGGAAAGGGAUCUGGUCGUUAUUUUUAUUUUGCUCCGAAUUAUCGGAGCUUGAAGCUACUCGUCGGAGCUAAUUGGUUCAUUUGGUGGUGUUCUCUCUUGUCGGAAAAUAAGCGUGUGGAGGCAGGGAGAUGGGAUGGGUUUUGCUUCGUUGUUUUUCGGUGGGGUUUUGAUCAGAUUUGGGGCUCCGAGCUCGCUGUUCAGCUGAGCUAAAGCUCGCUAGAAAAAAUGUAGAAAGGGGAGAAUAGCAUGUGGGUUGAGGUCUGGUGUGUAGAGGGUCGUUUGGUCAUUGGUUGCUGCUGUCUAUAGCGGAAUAAAAAAGAGGAAAUUGGGGUCUUUUGGUUGUGUUGUUGGCAGUGAGGAGAGGAGAAAGGAAAUAGUGGUGCGCUGAUGUUCGCCUGAGAAUAGAAAAGGUGAGGGAUCCGGGUGAGUUCGUGAAAACAGUGACCCUAUAACCAGAAAAGGAAGACGAAAAAUGGGGGGUUGGGUUUGCCAGAGUUUGGCCGGAAUCUGGGGUGGUGGUGAUCGGAAAACUAAUGAAAAGUGAAAUUCUUCAUUGAACAAAAAUCUGAAAAUUUCCAAACCCAAUCUAAAA
rnacentral:lncRNA from 1 species